rnacentral:misc_RNA from 1 species
CGCGCCCCGGGCGGCCCGCCGGCGGACAACAAACUCUGUUAUCUUCGUUGAUUAUCUGAGCGUCUUAUUUAAUAAGUCAAAACUUUCAACAACGGAUCUCUUGGUUCUGGCAUCGAUGAAGAACGCAGCGAAAUGCGAUAAGUAAUGUGAAUUGCAGAAUUCAGUGAAUCAUCGAAUCUUUGAACGCACAUUGCGCCCAUUAGUAUUCUAGUGGGCAUGCCUGUUCGAGCGUCAUUUCAACCCCUAAGCACAGCUUAUUGUUGGGCGUCUACUCCGGUAGUGCCUCAAAGACAUUGGCGGAGCGGCAGUAGUCCUCUGAGCGUAGUAAUUCUUUAUCUCGCUUUUGUCAGGUGCUGCCCCCCCGGCCGUAAAACCCCCCAAUUUUUUCUGGUUGACCUCGGAUCAGGUAGGAAUACCCGCUGAACUUAAGCAGGGGGGUUUUACGGCCGGGGGGGCAGCACCUGACAAAGCGAGAUAAAGAAUUACUACGCUCAGAGGACUACUGCCGCUCCGCCAAUGUCUUUGAGGCACUACCGGAGUAGACGCCCAACAAUAAGCUGUGCUUAGGGGUUGAAAUGACGCUCGAACAGGCAUGCCCACUAGAAUACUAAUGGGCGCAAUGUGCGUUCAAAGAUUCGAUGAUUCACUGAAUUCUGCAAUUCACAUUACUUAUCGCAUUUCGCUGCGUUCUUCAUCGAUGCCAGAACCAAGAGAUCCGUUGUUGAAAGUUUUGACUUAUUAAAUAAGACGCUCAGAUAAUCAACGAAGAUAACAGAGUUUGGUUUGUCCGCCGGCGGGCCGCCCGGGGCGCGAGGUCCCGGGUAGCUUGCGCCGAGGCAACAAAGAGAUAGGUUCACAUGGGUUUGGGAGUUGGAUAACUCUGUAAUGAUCCCUCCG